rnacentral:rRNA from 1 species
AAAUUUGAAAUCUGGCUCCGGCCCGAGUUGUAAUUUGCAGAGGAUGCUUCGGGCGCGGCGCCUUCCAAGUCCCCUGGAACGGGGCGCCAGAGAGGGUGAGAGCCCCGUCCGGUUGGCCGCCAAGCCUGUGUGAAGCUCCUUCGACGAGUCGAGUAGUUUGGGAAUGCUGCUCUAAACGGGAGGUAGACCCCUUCUAAAGCUAAAUACCGGCCAGAGACCGAUAGCGCACAAGUAGAGUGAUCGAAAGAUGAAAAGCACUUUGAAAAGAGGGUUAAACAGUACGUGAAAUUGUUGAAAGGGAAGCGCUUGUGACCAGACGUGCGGCGGGUGCUCAGCAGGCGUUCUCGCCUGUGCACUCGCCCGCCGCAGGCCAGCGUCGGUUCGCUCGGGGGGACAAAGACGCCGGGAACGUGGCUCCUCCGGGAGUGUUAUAGCCCGGCGUGUCAUGCCCCCGUCCGGACCGAGGUUCGCGCUCCGCAAGGACGCUGGCGUAAUGGUCUCCAGCGGCCCGUCUUGAAACACGGACCAAGGAGUCGAGGUUUUGCGCGAGUGUUUGGGUGUCAAACCCGCACGCGUAAUGAAAGUGAACGUAGGUGGGAGCCUCGGCGCACCACCGACCGAUCCUGAUGUUUUCGGAUGGAUUUGAGUACGAGCGCAAAGCUUCGGACCCGAAAGACGGUGAACUAUACGUGGAUAGGGUGAAGCCAGAGGAAACUCUGGUGGAGGCUCGCAGCGGUUCUGACGUGCAAAUCGAUCGUCAAAUCUGCGUAUGGGGGCGAAAGACUAAUCGAACCGUCUAGUAGCUGGUUACCGCCGAAGUUUCCCUCAGGAUAGCAGUGUUGAUCUCAGUUUUAUGAGGUAAAGCGAAUGAUUAGGGACUCGGGGGCGCUUUUUAGCCUUCAUCCAUUCUCAAACUUUAAAUAUGUAAGAAGCCCUUGUUGCUUAGUUGAACGUGGGCCUUCGAAUGCAGCAACACUAGUGGGCCAUUUUUGGUAAGCAGAACUGGCGAUGUGGGAUGAACCAUACGGGGGGUUAAGGUGCCGGAGUGGACGCUCAUCAGACACCACAAAAGGUGUUAGCACAUCUUGACAGCAGGACGGUGGCCAUGGAAGUCGGAAUCCGCUAAGGACUGUGUAACAACUCACCUGCCGAAUGUGCUAGCCCUGAAAAUGGAUGGCGCUCAAGCGUCCC